rnacentral:rRNA from 1 species
UACGUAGGUGGCAAGCGUUGUCCAGAUUUACUGGGCGUAAAGCGAACGCAGGCGGAUCUUUAAGUAGGAAGUGAAAGGUUGGAGCUCAACUCUAACACUGCUCCCUAUACUGGAGAUCUUGAGUGCCGGAGAGGAGAACGGAACAAGUUGUGUAGCGGUGAAAUGCGUUGAUAUAACUUGGAACACCAAUGGCGAAAGCAGUUCUCUGGACGGAUACUGACGCUCAUGUUCGAAAGCCAAGGUAGCAAACAGG